UCUCUCACCACUCUCAUCGGCUCCCUCUCUCCUUCUCGCCACUCUCUCUCCCUUCCUCUCAUCUGACGUCGCCGCCGCCGCCUACAAUUCCGCCGGCGCGUCGCCGGCGUACCACCGCCGCACUCAUCUCUCUCUAUCUUUCUCCCUUCUCCCUCAAUUCGCCAAACCCCCAAACCCCCAAAUCCACAAAUCCUAAAUCCCCAAAAUCGUCAAAAGCCCUAAGCUCCUGCCUACCCAUCCACCGCCUCCUUCCUCCGGCGAAGUCGUCGCCAUCAGCGACUGUCGGCGACAACAGCAGCCGCGGCCGACGCCAUCGCCACCUCCUCUGUCUCCCUCUCGCCUAACCCUUCUCUCCGUCCAACCGGCAAGCAGCAGCAGCUAAUAGGCCACCGCUGACCUCCCUCGCAAUCUCUCUCUCUCUCCUCGGUCAGUGGCAGACCACCACCACCGCCGGACGGACAGCAGCGAUGAGCCGCCGCCGCCUCCCUUUGUCCUGCGGCCCUCUCUCUCUGUUCACUCCGGCGCCUCCUCCUCUUACACGGCCGGAUGGCCGGCAGCGAGCACGCCGCCAUCCCGGCGCCGCUCAACUCAACCCAACACACACACACGGUUCAAAGCUGAUACAAGAAUUCAAGACUCUACCUUUCUUUUCCUUUCAUUGUUAAAACAAAACAUGUUUCAUAUAUGUAUA
rnacentral:lncRNA from 1 species